AUGAAUGAUGCUUAUCUAGACAUUGCCAGAGUACAGAGUUUUCAGAGGGGCUGCUUGGAGAAGGAGAUUUUAGAAGUGAAUUCCUGCUGCCUCCUGGGAAAAUCCCUGCUGACUUCUUUACCCAUGCCCACGUUGACAGUUGUCAACACCUCUGACAGACCCAAGGAAAGGUGUUUUCCAAGGGAACGGCAGAAAAUCCCUACCUGGGCAACCCUUUAUUUGGAAACCGGAGAAUCCAUUCUGCGUCUAACGCCGGCUAUCCCUUCUCUAGUUGUGACCCCCUCCCCACCCCUACACACACACACCCACACACACACACACUGCGCUGGAGCUGCACAGACCGUCAGAAUUCCAUUCCUAAGGCGACCUUCAAUAGGGGCGGAACGCUGGAAGAAGUCUUUCGCUGUCAACUUUUAAGCCCCAGGUAACGCCAUCUUAAAGUACAACAGGUGGCUUGACUCUGCGCCCUCCGCAGGCUAGGAAGGUGCAAGGUUGGCUCGGGGACCACGUGGGCGACCAGGGAUACUUUCUUCAGGGAAAUUAUUUCCUGACCUUUGGCACUGUUUUCUGAGUUGGCAGAUUCAACCGGGUUGGUUCUUCCUCCCAGACCUCGUUUGGGGGUUGUCCUAGGUUGAGGUCUCCUCCCGCUCCUCCCCGCCUCUCAGAAUAACAUCACUUCGCCUCUGAAGGGCAACCGAAGACUGAGAGCAUCCCAAAGCCAACACAUGCGUGCUCCACACUCCUCCGCCCGUCUCACGCCCAGGUACCUGGGGACAGACUCGGAGGAGCGUGCCCCCGGACCUCCGAAGCGGUCCAGCCUCCAAGCACUUAGCCCGCCCCGUCCAGGCUGGAGACGGGUGGCCCCGGCCAAACUACUGCCCAAACAGCUGUUCUUUGGUGGGGCGGGGACCCGCCUCCCCGCAUCUCUCAGGUGCGAGGUCAGCACCCAGCCACCCGGGUCCCGGCCGCCACGCGCGCCCCUGCCCGGCGGCGCACUCACCUGCAGCGGGGCCCGGCUGGCGUUGGCCGCGGCCG
rnacentral:lncRNA from 1 species